rnacentral:tRNA from 1 species
CAGGGAGACAACAAAAUGUUUAAUAUUAUUAUUUUGUCACCUUAGGUCGAUCGGUAUCUCACUUUCUUAAUUUAUUAAGAAUUUCAUUUCCUAAGUUUUUCUAGGUCACACCCAUUAUUUUUCCUGGGCCAUUAGCUCAGGUGGUUAGAGCGCACCCCUGAUAAGGGUGAGGUCCCUGGUUCAAGUCCAGGAUGGCCCAUAUCUCUAUGUUGGGGGUAUAGCUCAGUUGGUAGAGCGCCUGCUUUGCAAGCAGGAUGUCAGCGGUUCGAGUCCGCUUACCUCCACUGAUUACCACCUCUUCCAUAAUCUGUAGAAAGGGAAAUUUUUUGUGUUGUGAUCAUAAUCCUGAACGAAUCUAGCAUCCUAAUGAAAUCAUUAAGACGCUGGACUCAUUGAAUUAAUUUCAUUGUUUUCAGAGAACCUUGACAACUGCAUAGAUUAUUUUUAAAGACAAUAAGCAUCUUUAACGAUGCAGAUUUAUUAUUUGUGCAAAUGCAUUAAUAACAAUUCUAUUAAGCUGAUGCUUCAAUUUUGAAGUUAUU